rnacentral:rRNA from 1 species
UCCAGAGGGGGCAAGCGUUAUUCGGAUUUACUGGGCGUAAAGCGCGCGCAGGCGGCUUUGCAAGUCAGGGGUGAAAUCCCAGAGCUCAACUCUGGAAUUGCCUUUGAGACUGUGAGGCUUCGAGUACGGGAGAGGUGAGUGGAAUUCCCAGUGUAGAGGUGAAAUUCGUAGAUAUUGGGAAGAACACCAGUGGCGAAGGCGGCUCACUGGCCCGUUAUUGACGCUCAGGCGCGACAGCGUGGGGAUCAAACAGG